UUUUUUUAAAGGCGCCAAAUAGGCAGCUUUGCCACAGUCUGGGUUUUUUCGUAGGAGAGUGCCAAAAAAAUCUUAUUUAAAUUAAUGCGCAGAAGCUAAUUUAUAUAAGAAUUUUUAGGCAAUCUCCUACGCUUACACCCAGCCAGUGGUAACGCUACAAAUAGGCAUACAAAUUGCAUACAAUAAUUCAAAAUUGAGAGAAUGAUAUAAUUUUAACAAUUAAAUAAACUUAUUUUUUAAGAAAGCGGUGCCCCAUUUGUCCCAUCCGUGCUGUAUUUACUAAAAUAACUAAAUAUUCCGAUUUAUUAAUUUUUAUUAACCGACUCUGAUUUUUAUUAUUCAAGUAAAUUUCAACAUUUGAAACGCGCAAAUAGGUCGAGGCGGCCAAUGGUGGCCGCCUCCAGAAAAAUUUUUGGAGGCAAAAACAUUUGGAGGCCGCCUCCAAGAGUUUCUGUCUCCCAGUUGGCUGCGGCCGCCAAAUUGGAGGUGGAAAUAUUUGCCUCCCGCUGGCGGAUGUAAUGAAAAAUAAUUGCACGUUUAUCUUUAAGUUAACGAGAAAUUAAAAUAAUAACUGAGAACAAAUUAUGAAUGUUUGACAUCUAAGGUUUGGUUUAUAUGAUUUAUUGACUAUUUAAAAUAAAAUUUGAAAAAAAAAAUUAUAAUUUUGUCAGAGCGGUUAUUUUUCUAGGAUUUUCGAAUUUAGAAUUAUUGUUUUGAUGUUUAUUUUGAUAUUUCAAUUUUUUUUUGAAAAUGUGAGGUCCCAACAAAAUCGGAGAACCAGGCCUUAUAAGAUUGCAUAAAAUAGGUUUAAUUACCCAUAAUUGAUUGCAUAAAAUAGGUUUAAUUACCGAUGGCGGUUUAAUUACCGAUGGCGAUGUAAUUACCGAUGGCGAUGUAAUUACCGAUAGCGAUGGCGGUUUAAUUACCGAUGGCGAUGGCGGUUUAAUUACCGAUUACCGAUGGCGGUUUAAUUACCGAUGGCGAUGGUAGGUUUAAUUACCGAUAGCGACUAUUGAUUUUUAUCGGCAGUUCUAUUUUUUUGUGUGUGUAAUUUAAGAGAUUUAAAAUAUGCAAAGUAACUAAUGCAAUAAGUAACUAAAAUAAUAAUAAAACUCUAUUUUAAAAGUCAUAAUGCUAAAGUUUGUUUACCGCAUUUUCUAUUGCUAAUUAGAAAAUACAAGUAAAAUAAAAACAAAAAGGUUUUAUCGUUUAAACAUUCUUUUUUUUUAAUUUAAUUAAAUUUUAGAGAUAUGCAAUAAUUUAAAAGAUAAGUAAUAGAAGUAAAUUUGUCCAGUUAGUCGAAAUUCUACAUAUACCGAAAAAAAAUUAAAAAAAAAUUUAAAGAAAUAACUAAUGACUCUAGAUCGCGUCUGGAAAGGCAAUUUAAUUAGUACUUUAAAAACUAGUUACUAAUGAUAAUGGUAGGUUUAAUUACCGAUGGCGCUAAUGUUUUAACUGGACGGAGACAAAGUGUUCAGCAACAGCUAGUAGGUGCAACAAUUUUCUCACUUACAUUGUUUGUCGCACCGAUUGCAGCUGGCACUGAAAGAUGCAGCCAGCACUUCAAAGGAACUCCAAAUUCUGCAGCUAUUUUGUGAGCAACUCUUCAUUUUUCAUCGAAGUUCUACUGUUAUAUCAGCGGUUUAUUGUAACGCACGCAAAGUUUAUGGUGUAAAAGGCCAAAUGCAGAGUCAUACGAGUUAGAAAUAAACAACUAAAAAAGUAUAUAUAAUUAGGUUAGCACACAAAAAAAAAUGUUUCAACGUAUGAAGUUAAGUCUUAGCUCGAGCAAUUUAGAAAGAUUCGAAGAAAAUCCAGACGCUGGUUUUUACUGGAACAAGCGCUCGGUAUAUGGGAUUGUAAAUUUGCAUGAAGUGAUAAAAGUAUGAAGAUCGAGUUUUUAUUACUACAUCCAUGCAAAAGUGCAUUUUGAAACGAUAUUCAAAUGUAUCAGAUGUCUUUGCGGAGGCGGACGAGUUGCUUAACACAGUUGAAUGGACGGAGAGCGACUUUUUCACGGCUGAAAACAACAAAAAGUUACAUAAAACAUGCUAGACAAUAACAUAAAAGCCUUUAUUGACGACGAUAUGCUUUGCAACAACUCGAAUAUAAACGAGUAGAUGUUGAAAAUAUUUUAUUAGAGUGGAUAAUAUUGAAGAAAAUAAUAGCAACUUGGACAAGUGCAAGUUCAAAAUCAUUUCCACCGCUAUCUAUGUAAAUCUAUAUAAACCAGAUAGAUUAGCGAAUCUAUCUAUAUAAACCAGAUAGAUUCGCUAAUCUUUUUUCUCUGAUUGAUUUUUUAUUUUGCCAUAGCUUAAGUUCGGCAGACGCGGAAAAAGGCUUUAGCGCAAUGAAAAACAUUAAAUCAAUUCAAAGAACACGAGUCAGUAACAAGUUAUUAACGAUUGUAUAAUUCCAGAAAUGGAGUUGUACGAUCCAACAAAAGCCAUUAAACACUGGCUUUUAAAACCAUCACGAAAAAAAAAACUAGCAUUAUUCAAAAAAGCUUUACGUGGACAACAAAACUCCAGUUGUGUCAGUUAAAAAGUCAAAGAAAAUACAGAUUUUUGCUAGUAGCGAUGAUGACAGUGAUAGAGCUGUAACAAUUAAUGACGAUAUAUAAUAAUUUUGAGUCUUGAAUGUUUUUUACCUUUCAAAAUAUAAAUAUUUUUUCUUGUAACAAAUAAGAUCGUAAUAAUUACAACACAUUAAAAGCAAAAGGAUUUUAAAGUAUUUGCAAA